UUUUUUCAUUAAUUUUGAUGGGUUGCGUGAGUAAACACACUCGCCAAUUAUUGAAAAUUAAGAUCAAGUCAACAUUUGAAAUGUUAUUAAUAAAGAUGGGCAUACCGAGGUACACCACAAAUUUAAGUUUGGUUACGUGGGACGCAAUAGUCGGAUCCGGCGGUUAGACCUUCACUUUCUAUUGUUUUCUGGCGCAGUGCUGGCGAGCCGAGGCCCACCGAGCGCAGUGCCGGAAGAGGUGUGGUAAUGAUCCUUCCGCAGGUUCACCUACGGAAA
rnacentral:misc_RNA from 1 species